rnacentral:rRNA from 1 species
AGCGAACGCUGGCGGCAGGCUUAACACAUGCAAGUCGAGCGGGCAUCCUUGUGGUGUCAGCGGCAGACGGGUGAGUAACGCGUGGGAACGUGCCCUUCGGUUCGGAAUAACUCAGGGAAACUUGAGCUAAUACCGGAUACGCCCUUUUGGGGAAAGGUUUACUGCCGAAGGAUCGGCCCGCGUCUGAUUAGCUAGUUGGUGAGGUUAUGGCUCACCAAGGCGACGAUCAGUAGCUGGUCUGAGAGGAUGAUCAGCCACACUGGGACUGAGACACGGCCCAGACUCCUACGGGAGGCAGCAGUGGGGAAUAUUGGACAACGGGGGCAACCCUGAUCCAGCCAUGCCGCGUGAGUGAUGACGGCCUUAGGGUUGUAAAGCUCUUUUCUCCGGGACGAUAAUGACGGUACCGGAGGAAUAAGCCCCGGCUAACUUCGUG